AUGCCGGAGGACAAUAAACCAGCUGCCAUAGGGCUGUCUCAGGGGCGCUUACACCUUGUAUGCAUAGACUAUGACAAUGAUUGGCAACUAUCUGUUUGGGUUCUCGAGGAAUAUGCCAGUGGUCAGUGGACCUUGAAGCACACCGCGGACUUUCCGGGUCUGCUAGGAACGCCUCGUCGCAUACCCACCGAGAUCUACCAGUCGGUUGCAAUCCAUCCGGAAUGUAAUCUGGUUUUCUUUACCGGUGGGGAGGAGAGGUCAUGGUCGCUCAUGUCGUACGACAUGGAUACCCGGAAAGUGCAGCAUAUCAGCAGUCUUGAAAGUCGCCGUUAUCUCCCGUGUCUGCCUUACGUCCCCUGCUUCGUGAAAUGGUCCCCGGAUGGUCACUAA
rnacentral:rRNA from 1 species